GAGACCUUCCUCGACACCCCACGUUAUGUGGGUUUCCGCAAGACCUUCCGCCAUUGCCUGGGCUUUGAAAGCGCUUUAGGAACGAUACGGAAACGGAGGCUUAGAAGUGGAAACUUUACAGAUAUGGAAACUGAGACUUAGAAAAAUGACCCGUCAAAGGUAUGAGAAGUGGCAGCACUAAGGCUCUAGUUUGCUACGAAUAUGAUCCUGAUAAUUAAAUCUCUGAGUUUCUCUAUCAAUAUCUUCAAAAACUAGAGUAGUGAUACCUAUCUCACAAAGGUGUUGAGUAGACUAAAAGAAAAGGUAUACGAAGCCCGGAUACUGACUGAGCAUGUUCACUGUGUGUCCAGGCUCUGAGUAGAAGGUGAGCUGUGUGUGAAACAAGCUACCUGCUGACAAUAAAACAAGUCAGGCUGUGGGGCUGAUAGCUGCAGAAGAAUUAUGGGCAUCAGAAUAUAUUUUUAAAAUAUAAACAUUUGAUCCCGUCAUUCCACAGAUGGAACGCUGCAUUUAUAUAACUUGUUUAGUCAUCUACCAGUUUCAUUUGUCUUUCUUGCACUGUCCUGGAGGGCCUCACAGCUACAUUCGGAGGCCACAAGGCAAAUGUACAGUGUGCUUCAAUUGGAACAGGAGUUGCUGUGACUUCUCCCUUCGGAGCAAUCACUGUUGCCCACUCAUAUGGACAUACUGAAGGAAAUUCUUGGAACGAGGGUGUAGUAGAGAGGGAGCAGGGGAAAGAACGAAGGGAAGAUUGAAAGAAGAUGGAGCCACAAAGGAGCCAUAGCCUCCUCACACCUCAGUCUUGUUUUAUCUCUGCCAGCCAUUGUUGUGGUGGCUACUAACAUAAUAUAUGUUAAUCUUCUUACAAAUUAUUUUACUAAUAUCUUACUUGAUAUAUUGAACUUUAAUUAUCUUUCUCCUCAUUGCUCUUACUCCAUCUAUGUAUUUAUUUAUUAUUUUUAUUUUUUAUUUUUUUGAGACAGAGUCUCGCUCUGUCGCCCAGGCUGGAGUGCGGUGGCGCAAUCUCGGCUCACUGCAACCUCCGCCACCCGGGUUCAAGUGAUUCUCAUGCCCCAGCGUCCGGAGUAGCUGGGAUUACAGCGUGCGCCAACAUGCCCAGCUAAUUUUUGUAAUUUUAGUAGAGAUAGGAUUUCACUGUAUUGGCAAGGCUGGUCUCAAACUCCUGUGCUCAGGUGAUCUCCCUGUCUCAGCCUCCCAAAGUGCUGGGAUUACAGGCGUGAACCACCGCGCCGUGCCGUCCAUCUAUUUUAAAAUCAGGUGGCUAAGCAGUCCUGUUUAACUGUAGAAGGAUCACAGAAUUUGAGAGCUGGACGAUACUUCAGAGAUGUAUCAUCCAGGAACUCAAUCUAUCAUGAGAAAACAAAUCCAGAAAAGUUAUGUAAUUUGUCCCAGAUCAAAUGAUGAAUCUACUGCACCCUCAUUCUCUAAAUUGCCUCUCCUAAUCCUCUUACCGACUGAUUCAACCCAGAAAGUCUGGGCAUAUUUAAAUAAAAUUUGUGAGUAAGGCUGAGGUCUCAGCAAAUCUGUUAUGCCCUUAGUUUACAGUCCAGGGAUACCUGUAUACCUGCAGGUUGUGUUAGAGGACUUUGAACAUCUGCCAAGGAAAAGCCCUGAUUAAAGAUAAUGAUGAUUCAGAGUGAAUAGCUUUUCCCAGGAGUUUGCAACAGUAAAAAGGCUAGGAAACAAGAAGUGAACUCUAGGAAAAAGAUGAUCCUGGCUUUAAGAUCUCUUGUGAAGCUUACUAUUCUUCUGUCUCCAAAAUAUUUCCAAGAAACAUAUUCAGUGAUAAACUUUACUGGAAGACACAUGCAUUAGAAAAUAUAUUGUUUAAAAUGCUCCCAUGCUUAGGCUAAAAAGUGAUAGAAGCUCAAAUAUUUGUUUGUGUUUUAAAUGUAUUUAUCAUUGUAUAAUGCUACAUAAAUUUAACAAAAGACUUUUUGAUCAUGAAUUGAUGAUUCUAAAAAUAACCAGUUUGUCAAUAAGGAGUCUAGACUUCAAGCCCCUUGAGGUCAAGAACCAAGUUUUUCUAUAAUCUAAUUUCUAAGAAGAGCUUCAGGUACAGUGGUGAUGUUCAAUAAUGUUUGUCAAUAAAAUAAGUAACUAAUCUCAAAUUUUACAAUACCAGGACUAGUAUAUAAUAUUCCUAAAUACUGGUCUGCCACUUGGGCUAAAAGGUUAGAAUUAUGAAUAAAAGUCUGAUUUUUUUUUCCUGAA